rnacentral:rRNA from 1 species
UCGCCAGACUCCUACGGGAGGCAGCAGUGGGGGAUAUUGCACAAUGGGGGAAACCCUGAUGCAGCAACGCCGCGUGAAGGAAGACGGUUUUCGGAUUGUAAACUUCUGUUCUUAGUGAAGAAGAAUGACGGUAGCUAAGGAGCAAGCCACGGCUACUACGUGCCAGCAGCCGCGGUAAUACGGAGGAUGCGAGCGUUAUCCGGAUUUAUUGGGUUUAAAGGGUGCGCAGGCGGAAGAUCAAGUCAGCGGUAAAAUUGGGAGGCUCACCCUCUGCGAGCCGUUGAAACUGGUUUUCUUGAGUGAGCGAGAAGUAUGCGGAAUGCGUGGUGUAGCGGUGAAAUGCAUAGAUAUCACGCAGAACUCCGAUUGCGAAGGCAGCAUACCGGCGCUCAACUGACGCUCAUGCACGAAAGUGUGGGUAUCGAACAGGAUUAGAUACCCGUGUAA